rnacentral:rRNA from 1 species
AGUGAACGCUGGCGGUAGGCCUAACACAUGCAAGUCGAACGGCAGCACAGUAAGAGCUUGCUCUUACGGGUGGCGAGUGGCGGACGGGUGAGGAAUACAUCGGAAUCUACUUUUUCGUGGGGGAUAACGUAGGGAAACUUACGCUAAUACCGCAUACGACCUACGGGUGAAAGCAGGGGAUCUUCGGACCUUGCGCGAUUGAAUGAGCCGAUGUCGGAUUAGCUAGUUGGCGGGGUAAAGGCCCGCCAAGGCGACGAUCCGUAGCUGGUCUGAGAGGAUGAUCAGCCACACUGGAACUGAGACACGGUCCAGACUCCUACGGGAGGCAGCAGUGGGGAAUAUUGGACAAUGGGCGCAAGCCUGAUCCAGCCAUACCGCGUGGGUGAAGAAGGCCUUCGGGUUGUAAAGCCCCUUUGUUGGGAAAGAAAAGCAGCAGGUUAAUACCCCGCUGUUCUGACGGUACCCAAAGAAUAAGCACCGGCUAACUUCGUG